GCAGUUCACAUUCCAAACCAUAAAUUCACUGUGAAUGUUGUUAGAAAUCUCAGCCAGAAGACUCAUUGGCGUGUUAAGACCCACCUUGCUAUCAGUCACUUGGAUGUCAAUAAAAUAAUUAACAUUGUUGCUGAUAUGCGCAAGGUUUUGGCUAAAAAUCCUCAAAUAGAGCAGCAAAGAUUGCACAGAAGAGUUUUCUUGGAUAACAUUGACCCAGAGAAUCAGGCU
rnacentral:misc_RNA from 1 species